GAAUCUGUCUUUAUUCUAGAGUAAAUCCUUUAUUGUCUCAAGGAAAGUUGCUGUUAUCCAAACAUGUUCCAGAAUAUACAGCUUCUGUGACGCUUUCAUUCAUCAUAAACCACAAAGCUCAAAUUGGAGGCGAAGGCAGGAGCGAAAGGGCAGAGCAGUCUGAGGACCACAUUUCAUGAGAACCAAGAAGGAAGGUCACUCAGAUUGCUGAAGAGGCUAUGACACUGGGACCUCAAAGGGCUCUCCCCGUGUGUCUCUGUGUCUUCACGUGGCUUUCUUAUCCACAAGAGCCAAGGGGCAAAGCAACCCAAACAUCCGUGUCCAUCAAUGGAUGAACCUCAAAAUAAAACGUGCCCGAUAAAAAAGAAUCGAAAUGAGGAUUCAGGAAAGGGAUCGCCAUGGGCAACGAAUCGAGGAUUAGAAGAGACCCAUGAAAGUGCUUUUAAGAGGCGAGGGCACGGAGAGGUGAAGGAAGCAAUUUGCCCGGUCGGAUUGCACAGGGAGCCUGCGGAAGAAGAGGGAUUUGUGCGCCCAGGCUCCACCUUCCAGCCUGCUCAGCGAGUCCGCACAGCCCUUUGGCUUUGAACCUGAUAAUGAAAUGUGGAUUUUCGGUACUGCACUUUGAAAAUCAUGUUAAAGGCAUUAAUUCCUAAAGAAAGAGUUGGGAUUGUAAUUCUUCGGCCUGAUUAUUUUUCCUGAGGAGAUUUUUUUUUUUAGAUACUUGACUGAGCCGCCUAGACCCAAGUUCUUAGAAAUGACUCACUCUAUCCAGAGAUUCACACCGUUAUUUCCUGCUCAAGUACCGCACAGCUCAGAUGUCCCUCUCCCUCCCGUGGAGCCCACCCAUAGAGUGUAACCUUUAAACA